rnacentral:rRNA from 1 species
CAGUAGCCACGGGAAUACGUAGGGUGCAAGCGUUAAUCGGAAUUACUGGGCGUAAAGCGUGCGCAGGCGGUUUUGUAAGACAGAGGUGAAAUCCCCGGGCUCAACCUGGGAACUGCCUUUGUGACUGCAAGGCUAGAGUACGGCAGAGGGGGAUGGAAUUCCGCGUGUAGCAGUGAAAUGCGUAGAUAUGCGGAGGAACACCGAUGGCGAAGGCAAUCCCCUGGGCCUGUACUGACGCUCAUGCACGAAAGCGUGGGGAGCAAACAGGAUUAGAUACCCCCGUAGUCCCUGUCUCUUAUAC